rnacentral:rRNA from 1 species
ACGGAGGGUGCAAGUGUUAAUCGGAUUUAUUGGGCGUAAAGGGCGCGUAGGCUGACGAAUAAGUCAGGUGUGAAAUUCUGGGGCUUAACCCCAGAGCUGCAUUUGAAACUAUUUGUCUAGAGGGUAGGCGGAGAAAACGGAAUUCCACAAGUAGCGGUGAAAUGCGUAGAUAUGUGGAAGAACACCGGUGGCGAAGGCGGUUUUCUAGCUUACUCCUGACGCUGAGGCGCGAAAGUUAGGGGAUCAAACAGGA